AGCAUUGUGUAGUGGCAGUAUCAUAGCCAAUGACGUUUAUCGGAGGCACAAUUUUUGCUAAUUGAAAACAUUUCCCAACACCUAGCCAGGAUGACUUACAAUAUAGUCUACAUCGGCAAUUUUUGAUGGUCUCUACCAGGA